ACCAUGGCAAGUAGAUGGGCUUACUUAUCCCCGUCCGAGGCAGAAAUCAUCAUGGAGGCAUAUGAAGAGAAAUGGAUGAUCCAGAGCAAAUCAACAUACGUAGUGCCAUCACAAAAGUGUUGCCAGACCUCCUAGCCUCGAUCCAAGAUAUUUUAGAGACCACUGAGGGUUUCCACUUCAUUCAGAAGCUGAUCUGCUUUCAACACUGAGACCAAUUCAAGCAAGACGAUUGGUAGCUUCUGGAAACAAACCACACAAACCAAUGAAGGCCUUAGCCAGUCAGCGUUGUCUUCUCCAUCUUCCUCAUGCUUUUCAGCCAGUCUCUCCCUGUCGUCCACUUGUUGGAUUACUUCUGCAGACUUGACGACUUCCAGAUCCCAUGGACGAAGUUUCCUGAAGGCUUGGUGCAGCAAAAGAGUUCUUCAGGCUGUCACAAAGCUGGAAAUUCUGAGAGGACAGUUGGAGGGCUGCUCAGAAGAUGUCAAGAAUAGAAAAAAGAGGAGAACCUCUUCCACUAUGUUGAACAAACAUGUCUGGCAAAAGAAGUACAAGUGGACAGCUUGCCUGUGACACCAUGCAUCAUUGAAUGUGGAACUUCCUGGCAAGGUUGUAAAUGACCACAUCCCUAACUUAAUCUAACCUUGAUCUUUGAAACCUACUACUGCCUCAAUAUCCAUUAUCCUGUGGAUCUGGGCUCCACACUUCCUUCAGAGGUGUUUCUUCAUAAACAAUCCUGAGAAGGGGCACAAAAGUUGAAACAAAGAAGAACAAGAAGCAGCUGUCGGUGAACACAGCCUCGGCUCCAAGGGCUGCAAGGGCUGCAACUAAUCAUCAUUUUUAUAAUCGAUUGGUUUGGCCCAUAAAAUGUCAGAAAUGGUGAAAAUGUGGAUUGAUUAUGUGAACACUAAGCAGCAAUUUUGUGUAUUUUUUAUUUUUGUUAGAGGCUGUAUUUUCAGUUACUUUAAACAAUUUCAGGGUAAUAGUGGUUUUGAUUACACAAUUCUAAUGUUCCAUUCUAUGCAGAUAGUUUUCUAGUUUUGACUUCUUGUUUUUUGUUAUUAGAAGAAACUUUUCAGAGCAUUUGGUCACUUGUUAAUUUUAAGUAAAGCUGUCUUCCAAGGUAAAGAUGCCUCACUGAGACCAACACAAGUAGAAACACAGUACAAACAGUAGAAACACAGUAGAAAUGGUGUAGUGUCACAGAGAACAUUGACUACAUGCAGUUUGUUUAAUAGUGUUCAUUUUGAUUACAGUAAUUUUACUGUGAGGAAAGAGGAUGAAAAGAGGUGUGGUAUCUGAACAUCAGUGACUUGAUUGAUUUUUAAAAUUCUGGCAACCACAGCUGCCAGUAUUUUACUGUAAAUUAUACAGAUUUUUAUUUUUAUUUUACUGUAAAAAGACGUGUAGUAUAGCUGCUAUUAAAAAAAAAAGACUAGAUCUGUUUUUACAUAAUAAUUUACCGUAAACAAAACUGUUUUCAACUAUGAAAUUUACAAUUCCUAAAAAAGCAUACCGUAAUAUCUUAUACAUGGUCACCAUAUUUAUUAUGAUACUUAUUAUGAUUACUGUAAACCUACCUAUUACCUGUUGUUUUUACAGCAAAUCACAGUAGAUAUGAUUGAAUAAAUUUGAUUUUUUUAUGUUUGUAUUUAAUUUAUUUUUAUUUUUGUAUCUUAUUUACGUUUUAUAAUUUUGUAUUUUGUUUUCAUUUAAAAAAAAGUGUAAAUACUGCUAUCCAAAUACUAAUGGUGUACUG